GUUUCCUGUUGGAAACAUUCCGAUUGUAUAAUGGGAUAGCGCCUCUCGCUACUGCUUCGCCUGGCUGGUAUGCAAUCUCGAUCAGCGCUCCUAUCAGCUAUGCAAACCGAGUCGCAUCAUUCAGAAUCAUCGGUUCAGCAAACAUCGCAUAUCGGAGAUGAGUGAGAUACAAACUGAUCCAUUCUGAAUGACGAGAAAAAUCAAACAGUUGUGCGGGACACCAUAAAUUCUCAGUAGUUUUAACGUGACGUACGACAUUUUAAUAAGAGAACUUGUAAAAAUUGAAAAACACGGCGAAAGUGAACAUCUUUCCCUCACAAACACAACUGCAAUUUGAUUUUGAUCAUACUGAUGUUAAAAAACGUUAUAACAACAAAUAAAUUUAUUAAUUUGCUUUAUAUCAAAUCAAACAAAA